rnacentral:rRNA from 1 species
AUGGGCGCGCGCCAGAGAGCCUCCGCUGCUCUCCCCACACCUAUAAAUAUAGGCAUUUCUAGGCGUACAAGGAUGCCCCUUAUCUCGGAGGUUGGACUGCUCAUUCUCUCUUGUUCUGCUGCUGCUACACACAUAUACUGCUACAAGAAAAAUUUCACACACACAUACAUCUUGAAUUUUUUUUCUCCAAGUGACAUGAUUUUUGAUCUUGGCUUGGUCAUAUUGACACAUCCCAAGUGGCCUUCAUCCUCCACAAAGUUGGCAUUCUACUCUUGGCAUGGUCAUAUUGACACAUGUCAAUUUUUUCUUGCCAUGGUCAUGUUGGCACAUGUCAAGAAAUACAAGUUGCAUGAUGAGUUCCUCUGGUUUGGUCAUAUUGACACAAAUCAUGUCAACAAAAUCACGGCAAAGAAAGUAAAGAAAAUAAAUCAAAGUCUAUAUAUUGGUGAAUCAACAAGGAAAAGUAUGGAGGUACAGGUCCAGCAAUUUGUCACUCUCCGCUUUGGUGACCUCUGGCUGGAUGUGCCAAUUGGUCUUCUUGUGGCUGCAGUUAACAAGAGUUUGGAAACAACAGCUGCAUCCCCAGCUAAGCCAGAAGAAAAGGAAGUCUCCUCUGCACUGAAGGAGGGGUUUACUCCUGUGCUCACAAAGUCAGCAAAGAGAAGGAUGCGCGCAGCUGCAAGAGCAUCUAAGGAUCAGCAUGUACGCGAAGCUUCUUCAUCUACUUCAGUUCCUCCUGGUUUCACAAAGAUGUCACCUACCAAGGUCAUGAGCCAUGAGGUACCAGCAAAGGUUGUUCGCAUGACACCCGAAGAGUGGCCCGUUCUUGCAAAACAGACAGGAUCACUAAAGGUGGCAUCGCCAAGACAAUCUGCUUCAACUACAUCGACCAAAGUCGCAGUGCCCCUUACACCUUCAAAACUUAGGGUGGGUGCACACGAAGGGUCAGGAGAAAGCUCACAUAAGCUUAUCCCAAGCAACGUAGGGGCAGCACAAAGGGCUUGA